GACGAACGCUGGCGGCGUGCCUAAUACAUGCAAGUAGAACGCUGAAGGAGGAGCUUGCUUCUCUGGAUGAGUUGCGAACGGGUGAGUAACGCGUAGGUAACCUGCCUGGUAGCGGGGGAUAACUAUUGGAAACGAUAGCUAAUACCGCAUAAUAGUAGAUGUUGCAUGACAUUUGCUUAAAAGGUGCAAUUGCAUCACUACCAGAUGGACCUGCGUUGUAUUAGCUAGUUGGUGAGGUAACGGCUCACCAAGGCAACGAUACAUAGCCGACCUGAGAGGGUGGUCGGCCAAACUGGGACUGGGACACGGCCCAGGCUUCUACGGGAGGCAGCAGGAGGGAAUCUUCGGCAAUGGACGGAAGGCUGACCGAACAACGCCGCGUGAGUGAAGAAGGUUUUCGGAUCGUAAAGCUCUGUUGUGAGAGAAGGACGAGUGUGAGAGUGGAAAGUUCACACUGUGACGGUAUCUUACCAGAAAGGGACGGCUAACUACGUG
rnacentral:rRNA from 1 species